CCCCUUCCUCUAAGGCAAUAAACAGCACUUUCUCUCUUUCCUCCCUCUUUUUUUUUUUUUUUUUUAGGAUGAAAGCCAGCGGUUCAUCCUCCUUUCUUUCAGAGCUGUGCUCCUAAAAGCAAAACAGCACUCAGGGCUGCUGGCUACAAAGCAGAAUGCAUGCACACAACUGGUGGGACUAAAGGAGCAGCGCCAAGGAAGCAUUUAUCUUCAUGUUAUCUCCUAAUUUAAGAUCCAUUCUGGCAAAACUUCACUUCUUCUGCUUAAGCUGCAAUGUCAAGCUGCAAAUAUUCAGCAGCUGAGGAGCCGUUUAAAAUCAUUUGCCUUGAAGGAGAGCUAAGCAAUGAUGGGAAACACAACUAUUCAUUUGGGAUAGGAGAGGGGAGCAGUGAGGUGAGAGGGAAUAAAAAAGAAAUCCAACAGAGAAAGCAAACUGAAUGGAGGGAUUAUCAGUUCCUUUGUGUGUGUUCAUCUAUUUUUGUCCUAGAAGAAACCUCCUUAACAUGGCUGUGUAUUCUUUCACACUGCUCUCCUUCCUUUGCGGGACUUACUGAAUCCAUCACAGCACCUGGUUUCUCCCUGAGUUGGAUGUGUUAUGCCUACAAGACAGGACAAACUUGGCAGCUGUUGCACUGAAAGCAGGAGGCGAGCAGCACAGCAGCAGAGCCGGAUACUUUGUAUGUCCAGGGGCACAUGAGGGAUGACAUUUAUUUCUUUCGCUUCGGAUUUUGCUGGCAAAGCUGACUGCUUUCUUUCGGCCUUGACUGGGACAUCCAGACAUCCAGUGGGAAACAUUUUUUUUUUCUUCCCUUUUGGAUUGUAAGCGUAUCCUUUCUCCUAACACUUCUGUUGCUCAUGUUCUUAUUUGGAGAAAGCUUUUCUUUUUUUUUUUUUUUUUCUGAGGCUAUGAGACAAAGGAAACAUUUGGCUGGAGCGAAGUGUUCUUAGAGCAGAAAGGAAGCAGAGUCUGAGGCACAGAACUUCAAACAUUUUUCCACUUGCAAAGCAGCACGUGGCCAGAAGGGAAAGACCACAUCCCAGCCCCACUGCAGCUGAUGGGAAACACGCCACCAACUUCCAUGGGAUGGGAGAGCCACCUGAGGAAUCCAAACUCACUGGCCUGCCCCCCAUAAUAAAGGCUACUGAUAAUGUGUUAUUAGUGUUGCUGUAGCAGCUCGCAGUCAAGGGGGAGGACGUCUUCUGUCCUUGCGGGCCAUGCAAGCCCAGAUCAAAGAGACGCUCCUUGCCCCACAGAUCUUGAAAUCAAAGUUUAUGGCUCACCCAAUGGCUUAUCGAGAAACCACAUGGGGAAGGCACCCCGGCCUUGCAGCUGUGCCCUACUACACUCCUAGCCAGGCACAGUAUUUGCAAAACAGCCAUGUGUCUAUGCCUACCUGUGCCAGUCCAAAUGUGUAAUGCUAGAACAGAGCACCACAAGCACUCUGAAUUUAGCAGCAUGUUCAGAAGAGAAAAAAAGUGCUCGCCAAAAGUUGGAAAGAUAAAAAAAAAAAAAUUCAAUAAUUUGGUGAUACAGCACCGGAUGAUUCAGCAUCAAGGGAAAUACCAUCAUUAUCUUUGGCAUCAGAACCUCUAAAUCUAAGCUGAGAUGCUGGAAAAAUAAAAGUUGUUGUAAUCAGAAUCACAAAAGAGAAAAGGCCUUUUAAACUUCAUUGAGAUGCAACUUGGCUGGAAAUAAAAAGAGCAGAACCCGAAAGAAAGAAAUUCAAAAGGGAAAAGCUUGAAGCAAAGUUCCUUCAAGCAUGGGUGGCCGGGGCCACGUGAGGAGAAAUACACAUGUAAACAGCUCUUCAUAAAGUCACAUACCUUACUCUUUUUCAAAGGUUUCAUCAGACUUUUUCUAUCAGGAGUGAUGGUUUCUCAGAGCAACAACAGGGCGCUGUGAACACAGAGUUGAGGGGAGAUGGUCCCAGAACAAAAAAAAUGUCCUGAUCUGCAGACUUGAGAAGGACCAGCAUGGUCAAAUGAAAUCUUGAAGAGGACUGCCAUUUCCAGUCAGCAUCCCCAUCUCAUACCAAGGGAUUAGAAAUCACUCUGUAUCUUUUGUCUCAGUAAUUCAUUCAUUGAAUUUAGUAAUGAUGAACUCUCAGAGAGUAAUCCCAUUUCUCCUGGAGAAACAGGAUUCUCCUAGAGAAAUAGGAUUAAACAUAAUUCCCAGUAUGAAACCAUGGCUGCUUAGGUGGGUAAUGGCUCUGUACAUCAAAGGAGAAACAAGAAUCUCCUUACACAGGCAGUUCCCAGACUCUGGGGUGUUGCCUGCAUGCAGCCGUUCCUGGCAACAGCAGCAACAGCACUGGGUGCUGGCCAUAGAAAUUGUUCUAAUGUCUGGGCAAUGGACUUCAAUGACUUUCUCUCCUUUUCUUUUCCUCUUUUUCUCUUUCCUUUUUCUUUUUCCCUUUCCCUUUCCCCUUUUUCUCAUGGUGAAAAAGAGAUGGUGGGAGGCCAAGGGUGGAUCCUGUCACCCAUUCCCAGAGUGUAAGAUGCAGCAGGUCAGUAGAAACAGUGCUGGUGUGAAGAGCAUUUGGGUUCUGUGCUCUCUGCAAGAUCUUUAGGACAAGGAGCAAAACGUUUCCAGUCAGGUUGGCAACUGCAAGCAGGAAGACCAUGACAUGGGUCUGUUUAGGAAGGCUUCUGAGUUCAUGGAGUUUGCAGGCAAAUCUGACAUAGCCACCGGUUUCAUGGGGAAGAUGUGUGUACAAGAAACUAAAGUGUGGGAGUCGUGUCGCUGAGGGAAAGAAUGACUGCAGAGGGGCUUGCGGGAACAUCUGCAAAGCAUCUUCAUGACGAGUGGCACACACCCAUGCCUUCCACAGCUGAAGUUGCCUCACAGUCAUUUUCUCCCAUCUGCUAUGAGCUUUAUCUCAAGUCUCUCAGGGGUCAGUGGAGAAUAUCAUAAUGACCUCUGAAUCAGGGUUGGUGUGCACCAGCCUCUGUGGAGCAUAGAAUCAUCGAAUGGCUUGGGUUGGAAGGGACUCCAAGGAUCAUCAAGCUCCAACCCCCCCGCCACAUGCAGGGCCACCAACCUCCAUUUCUAAUAUUAGACCAGGCUGCCCAGGGCCUUGAACACCUCCAGGGAUGGGGCAUCCACAACCUCUCUAGGCAAAGCACAGGAACUCUGAUUCGUGAUAAAUAAGAUGCAAUCUUUUUGUCUUUCCCCACUUCAUCCUGUGUAAUUCCUUCUCCCUUAUUGUGGGACAAGUUGAUUUAAUUACACCAUCCUGGGGACAUCAACCUUUUCCAUUCCCAAGGUGGGCUCUUGGUAAUGUAAGUGCAGCUACACAGGGUCAGACUUAAGGAUUAUCUGCCUGGUAACCUCCAGAAUGACGAGGAGCAGAUGCUUAGACAUGUCAGAUGUGGUACCUCCUCCGCUUUUCUGUGUGUGGGAUCUUCCUGAGCAAUCCUGAAGCACCAUUUUUACUACCACAAAUACAGUCAGGUAUGACUUCAAUAAGCCCAUGUAAACUUCCAUCGCAAUAAUUUGCUAAUGAAUUCUGUAAAUGUAUUUACUUUAUAUAUGUAUACAUAUAUAUAUAUAUAAAGCAUAUAUAUACUCCCUCCCCUUGCCUUGAAAAUGCAUCUAAAAGAUUGUAUCAGAGGAGCAUUUCUUCAGCUGUUCAAGUCUGCCCAUGCAACGGCACCUCUGCCUCAUUCCCUCCCAUAUCUCCCUGCCUGUCUUUUACUUGGUGGUUCUGAUUUAUGAAGCAGCUCUGGGGUUGCUUCUUUCAGAUCAUACAGCUUACAGCACCGUGAAGGUCAGACAACGACAGGAGCCAUAAAGCUGACCACAAAGGUUCUGCACUGUCGGUGCUGGGAGCCUGCAGCACCUGCAGAGUCUGUCUCUUCCACAGCAACCCCUCCAAUUGGCUGCUGGGCUCCUGUUUCUUAACAGCAAAAUCAGCAGCCCCCAGCUGCUAGCAGAUGACUCAAAUUUUUGGGAAAUAAAUAAAUAAAUGAAUAAAUAAAUAAAACAAAAAAAGAGAUGAAUAACAUAAAAAAAAAUAAUAACAAUAAUCCCAAGCAGCAUUAUAAAAAUAACUCAAAAAAAAAAAAAAAAAAAAAAAGAAGAAGAAAAAAGGAAAGGAAAGGAAAAUCAGUCCAUAACAGCUGUGCUUUGACUCAGUGUCUGACUCCUGCUUCCAGUGGGACCUUGCCCAGAAUCUAGUGAUGGUCUACACUGGUCUUCCCCUUACCCCACCCCACUCCUCCCUGUCAGCUCAUCGGGCCCUUGAAUGCAAUCACCAUCAUCUAUUUGGCUUGCUUACAUCAUGAAGAUGUCAGCCGACCCCCUCAUUUCAAAUUUGGAAUCAAAUAUAAAGCCACAUUUCAGUCAGUCAAGGGACAGGAGCAUGUUGGCUGGCAAAGAGGAAAGAGCAGGAAAAGCCCGAGGGAGAGGAGGUGGGAGUUCAGAGGGUUCAGGAGGGUCACAGACAUUUUGAAUGGCUGUUUUCCUCCUCCCUGCAGCAUCGCUCAGCUCAGCAUGGGAUGGAAACAUAGCAGGGAGUUGGCUGUGCUCCUGCUCCUACCAUUCACUCUCUUCAGCUGGGAUUACAAGAGCUGAGGAAAAGCAGAUCUCAGUCAGGCAAUAUGUAUAGAGAAGCUUUCCUUCUUCAGGCUCUUCCUUACUGGCUUUUUUUGCCUGUCCAAUAUCUGUGUUUAUUUAUUUACUUUUGUGAGAAUCCUUCUCCCUGACUGUCACUGCACCUCGUACCUCUCAGUCAGAGAAACCCAUAUCACUGAAAUAGAAAAUCCCAUUUCUACUGGGUUAGUAGUGUCACUCUUGUUAAUGAAUUUUUACUAUUUUUGGUCUAAGUUUAUGAAUUUGAGGGAAAGUCUGUAAUAUUAACUUGUGGGUUCCCUCCUCUUUCAUUUUGAAUUUCAAUAUUUUCCUCAAAAAUUCUGAACGGAGGAGUUCUCUGGCCCCACAUCUCCCUCUCUUUUGUAAUCACUUCCCACAGCUGCUGCUGUGGUGGAGAUUUACAAUCAUGAAGUUCUGAAAAAAACUUUGCCCUGCCCAGCCAAACAGGACCAGCAAACACAUCCUACAUGGGAAUUCCUCCCUGACACACUUCCUUGUGGACACUGGAAUUUGAAUGCUGUCCUCAAAGGGCAGCCCAACACUGGUCUCACUGGUUUCUUUGGGAGCAGAGCUGAAACACUUAGGAAAAUUCCUUCCUUCAGCUCCAAGAGCAGACUUUGUCCAGUUCUAUUGGGCGGGUCCCAAACAUGACAAUUUAAUUAGGAGGUCUAGACCCUGCAUGCUUAUGCUCACUCUGAAGUGCCAAUUCCAGAUAUCCAGCGGGGCCAAGAGCAAGUUUGACUAUCAAAGCCACGUAAGCUUUUUGACAUACUGUGCUAAGGUAGCCAAGUGGAAAAAGUAGGCUGCCUGUCUAGUCUCAAACACAGACAGUAGCCACAUUCUUGUAGGGAGCCCAGAACAUGUUCGAGAAAUGCAGGGAGUUUAAAUGAAAACCUGUUGCUGUCCCAAAAUGGAGCUGUUUGACUUGGAAUGGAAAGCUUAGUCAUCUGUCCUGCAGGGGUUUGCCCAGCUCCCUUGGUCUCUCCAUCUGUCUGAUUUACUUCUUCAUUUUUUCCAUUCCCUUUGCUACCUUGUUCUUCGGGGUCUCAGCCAUGAAAGUGCUCUCUUUCUAUGGCGAUGUCACCAGUUACACAACGCCCAGUGUAUUUCCUCUCAGUUUUGGAAGAAGGCAUCGGGGGAAUGAUGCAUUACAACGGCAUUCUUAUACCCGCAUGUCAUAUGGAAAUGUUUAGGAAGAAAAUAAUUUGCAAGUAGCCCAGUUGUCGUUGGUUAUGCUACAGAACCAGCAUCAGUUCUCCCUCCCACUUUGCUAACAACUCCUGUUGCACUGGGUUCCUAUAAUUAGGAGAUAAUUGUAGGCUCUCAGUGACCUCCUUUGUGUUUCAGGGGAUAUCAUCUAGUCUAUAAGUUAUAUUCCUAUUUCAUCAAGUAAUAAGGUAAGCAUUAGGAGGCUGAAGUUCUUGGCAGAGGUCUAUAUCCUACCAGCUCUUAUGUUUGGCUGCUAUAUGCGACUCAUUACAUGGAGGUGGGUAGGUGACAUCAUCACUAAAGGGAAACACAUGAUAAAGUGAGGGUUCAAGGAUUUAAAAUUCAGCUAAUAAAAUAUCCAGACAAAGAGGAUUAGCUCUGUUUGCAG
ensembl:lncRNA